rfam:Triticum aestivum genome assembly, contig: Triticum_aestivum_CS42_TGACv1_scaffold_074112_1DL
GUGAGCCGUGUGAUGGGAAACCUUCCCGCACGGUUCGGAGAGCACUGAAGACGAAUGAGAGGUUCACCACCACAUCAUUGCAAGGGGAGCUCGCUCGAUUCGUAGAUUGGCCUGACUCGUAAUUCACUUUUGACUCUGU